rnacentral:rRNA from 1 species
AGCGAACGCUGGCGGCAGGCCUAACACAUGCAAGUCGAACGGACCCUUCGGGGUUAGUGGCGGACGGGUGAGUAACACGUGGGAACGUGCCUUUAGGUUCGGAAUAACUCAGGGAAACUUGUGCUAAUACCGAAUGUGCCCUUCGGGGGAAAGAUUUAUCGCCUUUAGAGCGGCCCGCGUCUGAUUAGCUAGUUGGUGGGGUAAUGGCCCACCAAGGCUACGAUCAGUAGCUGGUCUGAGAGGAUGACCAGCCACAUUGGGACUGAGACACGGCCCAAACUCCUACGGGAGGCAGCAGUGGGGAAUCUUGCGCAAUGGGCGAAAGCCUGACGCAGCCAUGCCGCGUGGAUGAUGAAGGUCUUAGGAUUGUAAAAUCCUUUCACCGGUGAAGAUAAUGACUGUAGCCGGAGAAGAAGCCCCGGCUAACUUCGUGCCAGCCGCCGCAGUAAUAC